rnacentral:rRNA from 1 species
UACGAAGGGGGCUGGCGUUGCUCGGAAUCACUGGGCGUAAAGGGCGCGUAGGCGGCCAUUCAAGUCGGAGGUGAAAGCCCAGGGCUCAACCCUGGAAUUGCCUUCGAUACUGUUUGGCUAGAGACCGGAAGAGGUAAGUGGAACUGCGAGUGUAGAGGUGAAAUUCGUAGAUAUUCGCAAGAACACCAGUGGCGAAGGCGGCUUACUGGUCCGGUUCUGACGCUGAGGCGCGAAAGCGUGGGGAGCAAACAGG